UUGUUUGAUGUUCAUUAUUACCUUGAUCUAUAUGUAAUUUUAUAAUUUUGAAAUAUUUCUAAAAGAAAUUUUAGUUUACUUAAAAUGUAGCAGUAGAUAGUUUUAUUGAUAUUAAUUUAGUUUAGAUUUAGUAAAUGUUAUUUAAAAGAUUUGGUAAAGGCUGUGCCAGCAUCCGCGGUUAGACAGCGAAAUCAAAUGAUCAUUAUUGGUUUUUAAGUAGUUAAUAUUAUUAUUGUAUAAUAAUUAAGAUAAUUUAAGGUGAAAUUUUAUUAUUUUAAGGUAUUUAUAUAAAUAUUAUUGUAUGAUUAUUAUGAAAUUAAAAAUAUAAACUAGGAUUAGAUACCCUAUUAUUUUUAUUGUAAAAGUUUAAUACUAGAGUAUUAAUAGUUAUGAUCUUUAAACUUAAAGAAUUUGGCGGUUUUAUAAUCUAUUUAGAGGAAUCUGUUAUGUAAUUGAUAAUCCGCAUUGAACCUUACUUAUAUUAAGUUUUUGUAUACCGCUGUUAUAAGAAAAUUCUUUUAGGUAAUUUUCUUGAUAUAAAAUUAAUUAAUAUUUCAAGUCAAGGUGCAGUUAUAUAUAAGUUGAAUAAUGGAUUACAAUAAAUUUUAUUUAUUAUAUGGAUUAUUAUUGAAAUUAUAAUUUGAAGGUGGAUUUAAUUGUAAUUUUAUGAAGAUUAAUAAAAUGAUUAUAGUUCUAUAAUGUGUACACAUCGCCCGUCACUCUCAUUAUAAGAUGAGAUAAGUCGUAACAAAGUAGGUGUAUCGGAAGGUGUACCUAGGAAGAAAUAUUAAUAAA
rnacentral:ncRNA from 1 species